GGCUCAGGAUGAACGCUGGCGGCGUGCCUAACACAUGCAAGUCGAACGAAGCGAUUAAGAGAAGUUUUCGGAUGGAAUCUUGAUUGACUGAGUGGCGGACGGGUGAGUAACGCGUGGAUAACCUGCCUCACACUGGGGGAUAACAGUUAGAAAUGACUGCUAAUACCGCAUAAGCGCACAGUGCCGCAUGGCAGUGUGUGAAAAACUCCGGUGGUGUGAGAUGGAUCCGCGUCUGAUUAGCCAGUUGGCGGGGUAACGGCCCACCAAAGCGACGAUCAGUAGCCGACCUGAGAGGGUGACCGGCCACAUUGGGACUGAGACACGGCCCAAACUCCUACGGGAGGCAGCAGUGGGGAAUAUUGCACAAUGGGCGAAAGCCUGAUGCAGCGACGCCGCGUGAGUGAAGAAGUAUUUCGGUAUGUAAAGCUCUAUCAGCAGGGAAGAAAAUGACGGUACCUGACUAAGAAGCCCCGGCUAACUACGUGCCAGCAGCCGCGGUAAUACGUAGGGGGCAAGCGUUAUCCGGAUUUACUGGGUGUAAAGGGAGCGUAGACGGCGAAGCAAGUCUGAAGUGAAAACCCAGGGCUCAACCCUGGGACUGCUUUGGAAACUGUUUUGCUAGAGUGUCGGAGAGGUAAGUGGAAUUCCUAGUGUAGCGGUGAAAUGCGUAGAUAUUAGGAGGAACACCAGUGGCGAAGGCGGCUUACUGGACGAUAACUGACGUUGAGGCUCGAAAGCGUGGGGAGCAAACAGGAUUAGAUACCCUGGUAGUCCACGCCGUAAACGAUGAAUGCUAGGUGUUGGGGGGCAAAGCCCUUCGGUGCCGCCGCAAACGCAGUAAGCAUUCCACCUGGGGAGUACGUUCGCAAGAAUGAAACUCAAAGGAAUUGACGGGGACCCGCACAAGCGGUGGAGCAUGUGGUUUAAUUAGAAGCAACGCGAAGAACCUUACCAAGUCUUGACAUCCUCCUGACGGGCCGGUAACGCGGCCUUUCCUUCGGGACAGGGGAGACAGGUGGUGCAUGGUUGUCGUCAGCUCGUGUCGUGAGAUGUUGGGUUAAGUCCCGCAACGAGCGCAACCCUUAUCCUUAGUAGCCAGCAGUGAAGGUGGGCACUCUAGGGAGACUGCCAGGGAUAACCUGGAGGAAGGUGGGGAUGACGUCAAAUCAUCAUGCCCCUUAUGAUUUGGGCUACACACGUGCUACAAUGGCGUAAACAAAGGGAAGCGAGACAGUGAUGUGGAGCAAAUCCCAAAAAUAACGUCCCAGUUCGGACUGUAGUCUGCAACCCGACUACACGAAGCUGGAAUCGCUAGUAAUCGCGAAUCAGAAUGUCGCGGUGAAUACGUUCCCGGGUCUUGUACACACCGCCCGUCACACCAUGGGAGUCAGCAACGCCCGAAGUCAGUGACCCAACCGAAAGGAGGGAGCUGCCGAAGGCGGGGCAGGUAACUGGGGAGAAGUCGUAACAAGGUAGCCGU
rnacentral:rRNA from 1 species